UUACCGGGAAAAGCAGUUUGGAGACAAGCCAAGGGUAACUGAUUUCCAGGGACUUGGCUGAGGGUUUUUGGCUGGUGGUGGUGACUUUGAAGGAAGAAGCUGGGUUUAUCUCUGGGACUUGGGAUAAUCAAGCUGGAAGUGGCCUGGCUGAUUUGAAAGCAGAAGAAGGACAAUAGUCCUUAUAUCUCUCUCUGACUUGCUCUGUUUCAAGGAUAAUUUGUUCAAUGCUUAAUAAAAAGCGUGAGAAAGAGAAGGUGAACUGUGAUCCAAGAGAAGAAGAGGGAAUCCUGGAAAGCUGAGUUGCAUGGAGAUAGCCCAUUCUAAGGAUCUCAGCAGAACCUCCAAAAUUAUCAUAGCAAACUGAAGUUAUACUCUAAUCAGCAGGAACCAGGAAGAUCUAAGUUCAAGUACCACUUCUGCUAAAGUGGCUAUGGGACUUGAGCCUCCAAAGCCUUCCCACCCGGCUCGCCCACUAGCAACGCACCAGGGAGGAGGUCAGAAGGAGGAAGAGGAAGACAGCAUUCGUUCAUCUUAGUCCCGCGGCGGCUCAAGCGUCCCGCCAGCAAGGCCCCUCAGCAUCCAACCAAUCAACAACUAGUCUCACGUUGCGCAUGAGCAGUGCCAUCGUCCCGAGAAGAGCCGACCAACCUGCAGCGCAUGCGUCUUCGGUAGAGCCUGGAGAGCGUUUUGUUUUUCGCAGAUUGACUCCGGCUUCUUUACUACGCAUGUGUGGGCAAAUUGAAGGAGGGUAGAGUAGAGUGGGGAUUAGUUUCAUUUUAUGAUCCUUACCUGAAAUCUUUCCUCAUUUUUAACUCUUGACUCAUUUAAACUGUAAGGGAGUUGGGAAGAAGCAUUUUUGUGAACUUUUUUUUAAUAUCUUGAUAAUUACAUUUCCAUAUAAUUGGUUUUCUUUAUGAUGCUAUAUAUUUUAUUUUAGGCCUUUAAAAGCAUUAUCCUGAGAAGGGGUGCAUGGCACCCGAACCUCAACUGAUUCCCAGCCGGGAAAUGGCUACGACGCAUCCUACUAAGUAGUUUAUGGAGUUCCGGGGAGGAGGAGGUGGAAGAAGGGUGGCGACUUCUGCAGACCCCGAGAAAAGACAGGGAAGAUGGAAAGGAGGAAGCUGCAGUCAAAGACUGUCUCGAAAGGGCUGCCGGGAGAACUUAUGUGGCCACUUUGCGACAUUUGCCUGAAACCAACUCGGCUCGCGACAGUCGGUUUCUCAACUCGGGGACCAGUAUCGCCUAGGCCGUUUUCCUUCUCUUUAGCAAGAGUCUGGGCGCAGAUGUGGGAAAGAAGGGGGUCUGAUAGCUCCCCUUGGGAGAAAGAGUGAAAUCCCUGCUUCAGAAGUCUCUUCCACAAGCAGCUCUCAGUCUCAGAAAUUUGAAAAUUUCUUCUAGGCUUAGCUGUAUAUCUUAUAGUGAUAAACCCUUGAGGUUGAAAACUAAUAAGAAAAAUGGGUUAUGACAUUGACCAUUUUAUUGGAUACAGCAUUGAAGGACUGUUGUGCUGCAUCUGCCAAAAUGUUUUGGAAGACCCUUUCCAAGCUCCUUGUAAACAUGUUUUCUGUGCUUCCUAUAUUCGCGGAUGGUUAGUACAUCACAGCAACUGCCAUGAAGAUAAGCAAGCACUUAAUGUGUCGAUGCUCCAACAUUUUUACAGGGGAAAGUAUGGCCAUUCAACACAACAGAAGAGUUCCAAGCAUUCAUAAAUUAAAGACCAGACCUGAACAGAAAAUUUGAUGUCCAACCAUAGAACUCAAGAGAAUCAUCAAAAGGAAUUGGUGACUUUCAGGUUAUUCUGUUUUCUAAUCAGAUUGUCCACUUCAAUUUGAAUGGCAUAACUUAAAUAGUCAUUUAGCAGUGUGUGAAUAUUGAAACCAGGAAUGCCCCAAAGGCUGUGGUUACCCUAUCCUCAACUUAGAAGACAUGCAGCAUAACUGUAUAGCAGAACUGACAACCAAACUAGAGCAACUCAGCUUCUGUAGUCUGCAUCAGUGAAGGGAGUGCCCCUGCCAACAAUAUCACCCAUCUAUGAAGUACUGACGUAUACCUCUAUAUGGUGCUGCACAAUUCUUCAACCUAGGAACAUCCAUAAUGGAUCUAUCACCUUAUUGCAGUCAUAUGGAAUUUGUAAUCACUUGCUUCUAAAUGUAGCACUUAAUUGCAAUUGUUUUACUGAGUUAUUAACUAUAAAAAAAUUUAGCAGUCCUGCUACUUGGGAAUAGUUACCUAAAUUAUUCUUUAUGUUAUCUAUAUUUUCAUAUUUUCAUUUACAUUUUAAACAAUUUUAUCCCAAAUAGAAAUCGUUGCUCAAAAAUCUGUUUGCAUCAGUGUUUGACAUACACUAUGCCAUAAAAUAUGUGCCUUUUAACAUACAGACUUGUUACCAAGCCUGACAGUUGUCUAUAUCAUCUGCAUAAUCAGUUACACAAUAGGAAACUAUUCACUACUUGUCCAACAAUGAAGAGGGCUUUAUGAGAUUAAAUAUAGUUAUCAUGUUUCAAUAUAUUAUAUUGCUAUAACUUCUUUGACUUUAUAAUAGUGUUUCAAAUAAAUCUUUGUUUAUAAA